rnacentral:rRNA from 1 species
GAUGAACGCUGGCGGCGUGCCUAAUACAUGCAAGUCGAGCGAACGGACGAGAAGCUUGCUUUUCUGAUGUUAGCGGCGGACGGGUGAGUAAAACGUGGAUAACCUACCUAUAAGACUGGGAUAACUUCGGGAAACCGGAGCUAAUACCGGAUAAUAUUUUGAACCGCAUGGUUCAAAAGUGAAAGACGGUCUUGCUGUCACUUAUAGAUGGAUCCGCGCUGCAUUAGCUAGUUGGUAAGGUAACGGCUUACCAAGGCAACGAUGCAUAGCCGACCUGAGAGGGUGAUCGGCCACACUGGAACUGAGACACGGUCCAGACUCCUACGGGAGGCAGCAGUAGGGAAUCUUCCGCAAUGGGCGAAAGCCUGACGGAGCAACGCCGCGUGAGUGAUGAAGGUCUUCGGAUCGUAAAACUCUGUUAUUAGGGAAGAACAUAUGUGUAAGUAACUGUGCACAUCUUGACGGUACCUAAUCAGAAAGCCACGGCUAACUACGCG